rnacentral:lncRNA from 1 species
UAGUUGGAUAGACCAUCGAGUAGUCGACAGAGUGGUUUCUACUGAAUAUAGAAAGGGUGUAGAGUACUUCUACAAUUUUUUUUUUUAAAAAUGUAGCACUCUUACAUCAAGGAUGGGCUCGUUGCCCUUAUAACAGAUGUGGCAAUAGAAAAAUAUUUGAUAGAGAUAUAAUUACUGUCUAUUUGUAUAAGAGUUAAUUUAUGCCUAACUAUAACACAUGUUGUGGCCGACGGACUGGUAAAAGAUCUAUACCAAAAGUCUUCACUAGA